UACAGAGGUCUCAAGCGUUGUUCGGAUUCAUUGGGCGUAAAGGGUGCGUAGGUGGCGGGGUAAGUCAGGUGUGAAAUCUCGGGGCUCAACCCCGAAACUGCAUUUGAUACUGCCUUGCUCGAGUACUGGAGAGGAGAUUGGAAUUUACGGUGUAGCAGUGAAAUGCGUAGAUAUUCGCAAGAACACCAGUGGCGAAGGCGGCUCACUGGCCCGAUACUGACGCUGAGGUGCGAAAGCGUGGGGAGCAAACAGG
rnacentral:rRNA from 1 species